rnacentral:siRNA from 1 species
ACGGUUUCAGAGGUUUAACAAGGU